rnacentral:rRNA from 1 species
GACGAACGCUGGCGGCGUGCUUAACACAUGCAAGUCGAACGGAAAGGCCCUGCUUUUGUGGGGUGCUCGAGUGGCGAACGGGUGAGUAACACGUGAGUAACCUGCCCUUGACUUUGGGAUAACUUCAGGAAACUGGGGCUAAUACCGGAUAGGAGCUCCUGCUGCAUGGUGGGGGUUGGAAAGUUUCGGCGGUUGGGGAUGGACUCGCGGCUUAUCAGCUUGUUGGUGGGGUAGUGGCUUACCAAGGCUUUGACGGGUAGCCGGCCUGAGAGGGUGACCGGCCACAUUGGGACUGAGAAACGGCCCAGACUCCUACGGGAGGCAGCAGUGGGGAAGAUUGCAUAAUGGGCGGAAGCCUGAUGCAGCAACGCCGCGUGCGGUAUGACGGCCUUCGGGUUGUAAGCCGCUUUCGCCUGUGACGAAGCGUGAGUGACGGUAAUGAGUAGAGAGGCACCGGCUAACUACGUG